rnacentral:rRNA from 1 species
ACGCAGUUGCGCCCGAGGCCACUCGGCCGAGGGCACGCCUGCCUGGGCGUCACGCCAAAACACGCUCCCAACCACUCUCAACGGGAAUCGGGAUGCGGCAUCUGGUCCCUCGUCUCUCAAGGGACGGUGGACCGAAGAUUGGGCUGCCGGCGUACCGCGCCGGACACAGCGCAUGGUGGGCGUCCUCGCUUUAUCAAUGCAGUGCAUCCGGCGCGCAGCUGGCAUUAUGGCCUUUGAACGACCCAACAAACGAAGCGCACGUCGCUUCGACCGCGACCCCAGGUCAGGCGGGACUACCCGCUGAGUUUAAGCAUAUAAAUAAGCGGAGGAGAAGAAACUUACAAGGAUUCCCCUAGUAACGGCGAGCGAACCGGGAGCAGCCCAGCUUGAGAAUCGGGCGGCUGUGCCGUCCGAAUUGUAGUUGAA